rnacentral:lncRNA from 1 species
GGUACAGAGGCAGAUACAAGAGCAUCCAGCAUGCUGGCAGAUGACUCACUGCAGCCUUCACCUUUGGGGCUCAAACAAUCCUCCUGGCUCAGCCUCCCAUGUAGCUGGGACCACAGGCAUGCACCACCACACUUGGUUAAUUUUUAAUUUUUCUGAGAAAUCUGACUCCAGAGUUUAAUUCUUUUUUUUUUUUUUUUUUUUUUUUGAGAUAGAGUCUUGCUCUUGUUUCCAGGCUGGGGUACGGUGGCAUGAUCUUGGCUCACUGCAACCUCCACCUCCCAGGUUCAAGCGAUUCUCGU